UGGGACAAUUGUUCUAAUUGGUGUAGGAAAUGGGCUUAGUAGGGACAUCAACUUGAUUCCCUUAUUAUGUGGUAGAACAUUGAAAGGUUUAAGCUUUGGUGGAAUAAGACUUCACUCAGAUCUUCCUACUCUACUUCAUAAAUGUGCAAAUAAGGAGAUUCAACUAGAUGGGCUUAUAACUCAUCAAGUUUCAUUGAUGGAAAUUAACCAAUCAUUUGAGUUAUUGAAAGACCCCCACUGCGUCAAAGUUAUUAUAAAGUUCUAAAAAAUAAACGAAUUAUGAGUAAAAAUUAUUUACUCAAUUCUAUAUGUGGUUUAAUUUAAUGUAUAUGUGUGCUAAGCAAAUAAACAUAGUGUGAUAAAAUUUGUCCCUAAGUUUUCAAGGCUUAUAAAUAGCCAUUUUCUUUGUAAUAUGGAAGAUAUCAAGAAGGGUGAAAAGGGAAUUACAAUAGGAGUACACUUUCUUCUAUUUAUCUCUCUA